ensembl:miRNA gga-mir-1578 gga-mir-1578
CCAGUGUUUGUGUCCGAUAGCGCACCGCGUGCCGUGCAUCUGCUGUGCCGUUCUGACACAGCUCUGG